rnacentral:rRNA from 1 species
UAGGGAAUAUUGGACAAUGGGUGAGAGCCUGAUCCAGCCAUGCCGCGUGCAGGAAGAAGGCGUUAUGCGUUGUAAACUGCUUUUUGCCAGGGGAUAAAAUGAGCAUGCGUGCUUAAUUGAAGGUACCUGGUGAAUAAGCCACGGCUAACUACGUGCCAGCAGCCGCGGUAAUACGUAGGUGGCAAGCGUUGUCCGGAUUUAUUGGGUUUAAAGGGUGCGUAGGUGGCCCUGUAAGUCAGUGGUGAAAUAUCUCAGCUUAACUGAGAGGGUGCCAUUGAUACUGCAGGGCUUGAGUACAGAUGAGGUAGGCGGAAUUGACGGUGUAGCGGUGAAAUGCAUAGAUAUCGUCAAGAACACCGAUAGCGAAGGCAGCUUACCAAGCUGUAACUGACACUGAGGCACGAAAGUGUGGGGAUCAAACAGGAUUAGAUACCCUCGUAGUCCCUGAGCGGGCUGGCAAGGCGCAU